UCGACACAUAUAAUACGACUUUAGGUGAUUCAUACCAGAACAUACGGGCAACAAUAGAGAGAGGUAGCUGUCUACCUGUGCAUUUAGUUUACAUAGAUUCAGAUUAUGGCUCUGUAACAGGUGUUGAUGUUUAUGGUAUUACGCCGGGUAUUAAAGACACAAAGAUUUUUGACAUACCGCCUCAAUGUAAAAAAGUUAGUCCCAUAUACAGAAAGAAUCAGGACGAUAAGAAUGAUCUGAAAUCAAGAAUACGGAAGAUAGUUAAGAAAUUUAUGUCUGGCAGAAGAAAUCCUUGACAUUUUCAUUUGACAAAUUAUGUUUUAUAAUUGUACUAUGUACAUAUAUCAUUUUAAAUUAUAUACAAAUCAAUUACCAUGUUUAUCCAUUAAAUCGAAAUGCAAGAA